rnacentral:rRNA from 1 species
GUGGGGAAUCUUGCGCAAUGGGCGAAAGCCUGACGCAGCCAUGCCGCGUGAAUGAUGAAGGUCUUAGGAUUGUAAAAUUCUUUCACCGGGGACGAUAAUGACGGUACCCGGAGAAGAAGCUCCGGCUAACUUCGUGCCAGCAGCCGCGGUAAUACGAAGGGGGCUAGCGUUGCUCGGAAUUACUGGGCGUAAAGGGCGCGUAGGCGGACAGCUUAGUCAGAGGUGAAAGCCCAGGGCUCAACCUUGGAAUUGCCUUUGAUACUGGCUGUCUUGAGUUUGGGAGAGGUGAGUGGAACUCCGAGUGUAGAGGUGAAAUUCGUAGAUAUUCGGAAGAACACCAGUGGCGAAGGCGACUCACUGGCCCGUUACUGACGCUGAGGCGCGAAAGCGUGGGGAGCAAACAGGAUUAGAAACCCGUGUAGUCC